AGACUUAACUGCCGGCAUGAUCAGUGCUGGCCCUGCCAGCAGGCUCCUUCACCGUCUCCCUCCUCCUGGCUCCUGGAGAUCUGCCUGCCUGCUGCACACGUGUCCCACCCUGGUUUUCCAUUCUAGAGAUGUAGGUGUUUGGGAGAGACCUGGAACACUGAGGUGUGAACAACAAGGCUGCCCACGAAGACAGACCACAGGAGAGGACAGGUGCUGGAAGCUGUUUUAUUUCUAGGAGGGAGAGUGAGUCAAAUCAAGAGAAUGAGUCACCAAGUCAUAGCCAAGGUGAUAAACCUCAAGACUUGCAUCUAUCUGUUCCAUGGACAUAGUUAAGGAGGAGAACCUUACCGAGUGGUAAGAAAACCAGAGUGGGUACUAUCUGAACAUGUAAUGUUAUUUUGAGAAAAAAAAUAAAGCAACUUUCCUAAAAAAC